CUGUCAAGUCGGAUGUGAAAUCCCCGGGCUCAACCUGGGAACUGCAUUCGAAACUGGCAGGCUUGAGUCUUGUAGAGGGGGGUAGAAUUCCAGGUGUAGCGGUGAAAUGCGUAGAGAUCUGGAGGAAUACCGGUGGCGAAGGCGGCCCCCUGGACAAAGACUGACGCUCAGGUGCGAAAGCGUGGGGAGCAAACAGGAUUAGAUACCCUGGUAGUCCACGCCGUAAACGAUGUCUACUUGGAGGUUGUGCCCUUGAGGCGUGGCUUCCGGAGCUAACGCGUUAA
rnacentral:rRNA from 1 species